GGAUCAUUUCCACAGCGCCCCCUGCGGAGAGGAGGACCGGUGAACAGUUCUAUCCUGCUUCCACUAGCUGUUUUUAUUUAACCCACUCCACUUAUUUAAACCAAAGGUGGCGUUUAUGGUCUUAAUUGGCUCCCCUGGUUUUUGUGUUGUUUUUGAGAGAGUUGGAACAGAAGUGGACAAAUCAACAGCAACAACAAGGAAUCCUUUUCACUCUUCAGGCUGGAAGCUAACAGAAUACAACAAAAUAUUUUCGGCUGUGAGAGUAAUAUUUACAGCAGGAUAACUUUUCAAAUGCAACCUACCUUGAUCAACAUGAAUUUCUGCAUUGGCUCAACCCACUCUAAAAGAAUGAUACUAGACUGCAGGGCCCCACAAAGGUAUUUGUGUCCUGAGUAAGGAUUCCUCACUAAGAAAGAAAAAUGAUUUUUUAAAAACCCUUCACAGUAAAGCAAAGUGUAGAUGAGUCCUGUGUGAGAUGUGAUCUGCAAAAGACCAAUGCUGCUCUGAUGGAUUCCUUUCCUGGUACACCAGCUGGGGACAAUCUCAAGCCUUAGUAAGCCUGGCAGCAGUGAGAUACAGAUAGCCAUGGAACUAUCACAAAUAUUUCCCCAUUUCUGGCACAUAUAAUCCUACUACUGAAAAAGCUCCUGGCUAAGAUGAGGCAUCUGGUAGGGCUUGACUGCCAGAGACUCAUUUUCUGUCUUCAUGCGAGGGAUUACAAGCUUUAGACUAUGAGAACCACUGACUCAAGUCCAGAGUAAGCUCUUGAAAGCUGAAAGUGCUCACAUGGGAUGGUCCUGCUAGCAAAUAGAGAAGACAUACUGCAAUUUACUUAAAUACUGUAUUUUUCCAGGGUUUUCACUAAACGCAAGAAUUAUACAAUAGUCACGACCUGUCACAAGAACAACCUCUGUUGAACUGUAGUAAAGAGCCUAAUUUCCCCACAUUUUGCUCUUCUUUCCACCCUCCCCUUUGUGACCUGCGGUUGCCACCUGCACACAUUAACACUUGGGAAAUACGGCUGCGUUCCCCUUUGUUUUCUACCUUCCUAUGUUUCUCUCCCUAAGCCGAUUCCCCACUGUUGUUGACAUUUCACAGAAUGAUGAAACACCCAGUUACUACAGAGGCGUUUCGAGAGGUCCAAUAGGUAUCUGAUGUUAAAUUCCAAGCAAACCAUUUUAUUGCCAAAGUAAUCCAUGUACAAGUUACACUAAAUGUCUAAUUUGUACGUAUGCAUUGAUAUUAGAUAGUAUCUCUACUUACCCACACAACACUUCUGACACAUCUUUGUGUCUGGAAUUUUGGUUGACACUGCAAACUUCCUGGAAUAUAUAUAUAUUUAAAAAUACAAGUUAACCUCCUAAUUGUCCUUCUCAUCAUGAUGAUCCAGUUCCAUGAAAAGGCCCAGAAGUUCCAUGAACACACCUUGUCACAACCCAGUGCCUGCAUGACACCCUCGCAAAUCUAUGCUUCAGACAACUAAAUUACUGAUACCUGAUCUACAAGACAAUGAAUAAAUACAAGAAGUUAUAAAUUAUAUUUGGACAGAAGAGCAUGAAUUGGACUUGGCAGAAGGCCUAGUAAGUGUAUUAUUAUUAUUAUUAUUAUUAUUAUUAGGGAGAGGUGCAUCAUACACAUAUGGGGAAGCUGUCACUCCAAAACUAGUUCAGCUACAUUCUAGCAGUUCAACAUAUAUAACACUGAGUAUGCGGGUUAAAUCUUUAACACAAAUGGUAGUCAACAAUGUCCUGAGACAGAAUUUAAGAUACUUUGAAUAAAUCAUCCUAUGCGAAACUUAAUACUUACAUGCACUUUUGGUGUAGGAGGAAGACCGUUACUAAUUGGUUUCUGGAAAACAAAAAUGCACAUUUGAAUUGUGACUUUGAAAGAUGAGCUAUAUUUGUGACACGAACACUGAAGGAGCAGGGUUCGUACACAUGCAUUCGCGAGCCCCUGUUUCGCUUGCCAUGGUGAAUGUGAUGAGAGGAAUCCCAGCCCUGCUUUGCAGGCUGGAUCUGUGGAGGGACUGCAGAUUGUCUCCACAGCACUAACCAUGGGGAAGAUCACCCCUGCUUCCUGCUGUAACCUGGAGAGCAAGCUUGGAGCUUAUGCAAUCCAGUGCCAAAAGCAAUGCACCGCUGCUCCUCUCCGCUCCAAGUCUGGAUAUGGAAAGGUGGUUGGAGAUUAUUGGUGUACUUCUACAGGACUUUCGAAGCUCAGUGCAACCUCAGGAAUGAUCUCCCUGUUCCAGAUCCAAAUCUGGAGACGUGCUUCACAGUAACAGUAUACACUCCCACUUCCUCGCUUUCAAUUUUUUUCGCAGCUCUCCAGCUUCCAGUGUUCCCUCCUUUCCUCCCCAGGCAUUGAAGCAUUUCCAUGCAGCUGCCUUGGGCUCACUGCCACCUCAGCUCUCUCACUCCCUAUCUCCCCCGACCUUCAUUUUCUGGGACUGGCUUCAUUCUUUUGCCCUGCAAACUUCAUGUUUUUGGAUAAGAUCUAGCCUUGUCUGUUAUUCCUUUCUGAAUAUCUUAAGAUACGUUGGGUUUUUUUGCACAGGCAGUGAGGUGCCAAUACUGGGCUCCUGUGUAUGUGGUAAAACGCGCUAGUUUCUGGGCCACCUCCUUCAGACUAACAGCAGUCAGGGUCACAGAAGGAACAGGUAAUUCCCUUCUGUCGUUUUGUUCACAAAGGGCUUAGUCACUGAAGAUGAAAAGUAGGUUUCAGACACACAUAGAUUCAUGGCUUGGGCCUAUGUGGCAAUGCACUGCUUAAUUUUACACACAGACACCUCCAUUCAAAAGCUUCUAGCAUACCCAGGUGCUCCAAUGCACAUACUACCAAAUACUGCAAAUGAAGAUGCCAAAUAUAUAGCACACGUAAACCAGGAAGCGACAUGCUCAUUUUGAGGCUUUCCCAUGCGCUUUACAGAAACAGGCAAAUGGAGCAUUACCUACCAGAACU